ACGGGCCGGCUGGGCCCGGGCGGGCCGAGCGGGCUGAACGCGGGGAGCCGGCAGCCUGCGCCCGGGACCCCUUGUGCUCGGCCCGGCUGCCCUCAGUGCUGCCCCCUCCCCGCCACCAUUGCACAGCGACUGUUUGGGGAUAUUUGAGGGAGCUCAUUUCUCCGUUUGCGUGUGGGGUUUUUUUUAGGGUUUUUUAUACAUUUUCUCACAGUCCCCUUACCCCAGGGACCAACAGAGACGGGAAAGUUUCUAAAAUUUCAUCAUUCCACACAACGGCUCCGGAAAGCACCUCGGUGGGGAAGGCGGCGCAGCUGUCCCAGAAUUUGUUUGAAUAUUGCUCCAAUUGCCUUCAUCAAUGUGCCUUACUUCUUGUGCUGGAGGACACAAAUUGUUUGGUAUCUGUCUUUGUUGUACAUACAUACAGCUCUUCUCUCAUUUCAAGACUGAAGAGUCACAGCCAACUCAAUGGUUAUUUGUAACAGAGCUCUUCCUUGUCUUUGGAUCAUCGUUAUUAUCCUUCUCCCAGCUGUUCCACUUUUACAGUUUUAGGAUAAGAGGAACUUUGCUCAGUAUUCAAGAUAACGAUGAACAAUAACUUACUUUGUGCAUACAAUGCCAUGCUGGUAUUUUCUGUUUCUUUACCAAUAACCUAAAGGUGAUUUUAUUUUUUUAAACAAGAGCUAAAUCAGCACUUCUACCUAGCUUGUCACAUCUUCUCAGCUUCAAGUCCGUUUUUGGUAAAUUUUGAAUUCUGUUUAACUAAUCAUCAGCUGAUUUUCUAGUGACCAAAAAAGCCCUCACACUCCUUUUAAAUAAUGUUUUAAUUGAAGUAGCCACUGGAAGCCCAAAUCAAAAUUACAUGUUCGGUUUAUACCUAGAACAAUGGACAGUUCUGGCCCUGAAGGAUUUAUUAUUUAAUAAACAAGACAAAAGAUGAGCAAAAGAAAAUAGCAUCUGUUUCACACUUAGGAAACACAGUGAAACAGCUUUGAACUGUUUUGCUCAGAAGAGUUCACAGACAUCUUUGGUAGAGCAAACAACUGAGUUUUCCUCAUUUGCAGGCCUUGGUGAGAAGACAAAACAGCAGUGAUUUUUGUAUUUGAGAAUAUGGACUGAAUUAUUAUCUCUAGGUUUAUGCAACAGAGCUACUAAAUCACUUGUUAUGGUCUUCUCCUGCAGAGUCAGAUGAAUUACAACUCAUGCAGACAGCUUGACUAGGAACUUGUGAAUUACAGAGGUCACUUUCCAAGAAGGACAGGAAAAGGUCUCCAAAAACUGUCAAAGGCCACUAUAUCACUGCCAAAUAAGGCUUAGGGCUAGCUCAGCAAACAUACGAUUUUAUGGGAGCUUUGAACACAUCCAUUUGUAGACUUGUUCAUUGUUGAACUCUGCAACAUGUGGCAGGGAGACAAGUACAUUUAGCUGGAAAAUGAGUGCACCCCACACUAAACUAGAUAGGCAACAGAGCACGGGUGCAGACAAAAGUCAAAAGAGCUGCUGCAGCAGAGCACUCGUGGAUAUGGAUACCUGCCCUUACAGAUUUCAUCAUCCUCUCUCCCUGCCCCCAAAAUUACAUAGAAGUUAGAGAUGGAUAAACAAGGACCCUUUUGAAAUUAGUUUCUAAAUAGAUAAUUUAAAACCCACCUAUUAAAGGACCCUUCUUAUGUGGUAGCAGAGAAAUUUCUGCACAGGAAAAAGAACCUUGAAUGAUACAAUAACAGAAUUAUUACUUACAACUUGAAAGUCUUCAUAAAUGCUCUUCAGUAACUGAUUAAAUAUUAAUAUCACUGUGCCAAGACAGCCAGGAAACAAGAAGAGCGGUCAAGUGGCUCUUCCAAAGAAAAAGAAGGACUAAAUGCUUGAAAGGUGACCUAAAAUUUGGGAAUUUUGAUUUCAAGGGUCUUGAAAUGGUGUUACCCCAGAAGACAGUGCAAUAAAAAGGUGAUAUGCCUUCCUGAUUCUAACUGUCCAGCUGCAUGCCUACUCAUUUGUGACACAGGAAUGUGGGUUAAUUGUUAAUCUUGGAUUGAUGCUGUUGGCAGAUGUGAUAAGAUUGCAUUUUGCAAUCUACCUACUGCAAGAAUGCAACUACAUGGAACUCAGAAUGGUCUGUGGCCCAUUUUGGUAUGCUCUUCAUGGGGCUGUGUACUUGGACCACGCAAAUAAAAUCUCAAAUACAGGCUGCAGCAAUCUACCAUUAAGUGCAUUGCACAGGAACAUCACUUGAUACUGUGAUACAGGGAAUUCCCAUGAUGCUGGUUUUGACAUUCAUAAGAAUGAAUGCACAUCUGGGACAUGGUUAUCUCAAGUACUCUGCUAAUCAGGACUGUUAGAGUAAGGAGAAGUCAUACAGGUACUCAGCUUGAUUUUAAGUGAGGAGAGCAGGAAUUUGCAGUGGGCAUUCCCACUCUCCACCUGCAGAGCCUGGAUAUGUUGCACUUCAAAAGACUCAUCCUAAUAUUCAAGGUUUUGGCUAAGCUAGAAGCUGAGUGAAGAGCUGGAAGGGAACUCUGUGAUCUUUGUCUGUGAUAUGCAUUUAUUUAUGAAUGGGGACGGGAGUGGGGGUGAUGGUGAAAGACCUCCAUUACACUAAGUGAUUGCAGUGUGAAAUUAAACUAUACAAGAGCUCAAAGGGCAGAGAGUGCUCACAUAGGUACACUUAGGGAUAAAAAGAAAAAAUGCUAAUAAAUAUUUCCCCCGAUCCAGGUUUCCUCUUAGGAACUUGUAGUAACUCAUCUCACUACGUGAACAUUCUCCCCAGCAUACAUCGACUUAAAGGAGCAGUUUCCCCACAUGACUUCAUUCUAAUUACCUACAAAUAGUCAUACAAGAAAAACCUCAAUCCACUCAUGCUCUUUACAGCUGUGAUUAGCAUUUUCAUUUCAGAACUUCUGAGUGACAUUGCUUGCCUGGAAUUCAUUACUCAAUCUCCCUGCAUAAUGCAUGGCAACCUGCUGCUGAUGUGUCACAGUGCCUCUAUGCAGUGCCCAGGGCCUGCAGCUUCCCAGAAGUUUGUCCAUGUACUGCAACAGCUGCCAACAGAUAGAUCACAACAGCCUAGCAAAGCACUUAGGACAUUUAAAAUGCCUGUUUUUAGGCACUAAUCUUCAGGACAUUAAUAGGUGGUUCUGCCUGUGGGUGGGACAGACACUGCAUACUUAAAAAGCACUAUUAAGAAUUACGGGAGCCCUUCUACCUUUAAAACCACACCACUUUCAAUUGUAACACAACUUGAAAUUUACAGGGAUCAGUUCAGUUAAUUUACCACCUCUGCUUUGAGGAACAAGUAAUUAGGGAAUAGUAUCAGAAAUACUUUAAGAAUUGGUUAGUCAUGAUACUUCAUGCUGUAUGAGUAAGAUAAGACUGGAGCUUUAAUCAGCUGCCUGGUAAAGACCUGGAUUUUCCUUGCAUUUGUCUUGUGUCCAAAUCUAUAAAUAUAUAUUAUAUAUAUAUAAAAUACAGAUCUACACCUAGAGCUAUAUACAUAAUAUAGAUACAAUAUGAAUUUUGUAUAGCAUAUCUUUGAGGUAACAGCUGCCUCUACACCUUGUACAAAAUGAAUUAUCCUGUCUGCUUUAAACUUAUUCUAAAAUUCCACCAGUUAUUCUGUAAUGAGCAGCUCUGCUGGAAGCAACCUCACCACACAGAAUCUCAGAUUCCUCUCUGCUUUUUUUCAUUUCCCUACUGAAAGCUUUGCUUACUUUCAGCAUGCAUGAGCAGUACUACAGGAGUUAGCAUGGAACUUUAUGACGUACUUGUAUGACAUAACUGCAUGUGGCCAUCACCUGAGUACAUGUGUGCCACCAACUGAGCUCUCAAGCUGUCAGAUGCAAAUUAACAUGCGUCACAUUUACAGCCCAACAACAUCAUCUCAGGAUAAUGAAGCAUUUGGUGAAUUAUUCUGAAGCUAAGGGAUGUCUAAUAGACCCGAAAAGGUGCAGAGAAGCCAAUGUAUUUAGGAGUGGUAAAUACCAGCGUUUACUUGGUGCAACUGGAUCUAUCAAAAAGCACGGUGAGUUCAGUAUUUGAAAGAUACUGCACAAACCAAGCAGACAUAUUCAACAGACAGGGGAAGAGCCUUAUCUCAUCUAGUCCAUGAAAGGGUUUCAACAGAAGGCUGUACUUAAACUGUAGGAAACCAAUUAUGGUCUAGGUAAGGAGUAUCUGGAAAUGCGGAUGAGCUAUGUGGCAAACCAACCUGUCAGCCCACCUGUGUGCUAAUGCCUGCACGGGCUGUGACCUAAUUGAUGUCUGCUUGCUUUACAAACAAAACUGCAUCAUUGAUUAGGUUCCUUGGGGGACACUUUUAUAUUGCCCUGGGAAAUUCUGCAGAGUGAUGGAAACAAGGUAUCUCAGCAGAAGCUUUUAGUGGUCUGUCGGAGACAAGAGAAAUCUUGUGUUCUUUUUAGACAGAACAAAUAUGAGUAGUGCAUUGAUGCAAUGACAGAUAUUAGGAACAGUAUCCUACAUAAGAGUCAGUAGGAUUUCGGUGACACAAAGUGGAAAACUGUAAUAAGGUGACACAUUGGUAAUAAUUAAAAAUGUAAAAAAGAAAGGUUCAUGACUAGGAGUUUAUAAUGCAGGAAGAUUUGUACAGAUGUGGAAUUUAAGCAGAUAAAAGAGAAGUGAGUUCUGGUUAAUUACCCAUACAAAUAUAAGACUAGUUACACAAAUGUAAAAAACACAUUCUUUAAUUUUAAAGGGAAACAGAGAAGGAUAACAAAUUAAAGAAUUAUAUACAGAAUAUCAGGUGAGAGUUGUACAGCUGUUUUAUAUGGUGACUAGGUUACUUUAAAUGAAAGCAAACAGCUCUGUGCACAGGACUCCUAUCCCCAUUGUCCAAGCAGAAAAGAGACAAGGGGUGUGUCCCCCUUCCAUGUUCCUAAUUGUUUUCAAUGUGUUACUCCUGCAAAAAGCACGAUCGAGUGCAUGGCAACAGAAUACAAAGUGCACAACAAAAUAACAUGAAUCAGAGAUCUAUACUGAUGAGGAAGAGCAGAGAAAAAAUGCAGGGAAAUAAGCUUCUUUUGAAGUUGUUCAACAAUUGAUUGGCACGUGGAUUAACAGAGAAGUCACAGACAGAUACUUGUGUAGGUGGUUCUCUGGAAGCACAUGCAGAGUGCAUGACACACAGAACACACUGCCAGGACAUGGCACAGGAGGCACCAGCAUCAACUGUAUACACACAUCUUACCUAUCCUGGGGUCCUCAGGUGACAUCUGGGAGAAAUACCACUUCCAGGAUUGUUGCAGCCUCUGCAGACUUCAAAGUAUUUGAAUGUAUUUCAAAGGUGGGUUCUGCCUAAACGCCUUCAGAAAUGCCACCUGCAAAUACAGAGACACUCAGUAGAUCUGUUAACCCACGUUCUCAGAUGCAGUGAGUGAUGGCUGAGCUGUGGCUCUGUUCAGUGCAGAACUCCACCAGGACAGGACCUGUGCGUGUUGUUGAUAUCCUGUGUGUACUCCUUGUGUCACCAAUUCAGGCUGCUUACAGCUGAACAGGGUGGUUCCCACCUUUCUCUUCCUGCACCAAGUCCUGCUCUGAUAAAAGGUACACCUCAUGGAACUGACUUCCACAUUAACUCAAACCAGGCAGGGCAAAGAGGAAGUUAAUGGUUUCAAAAUGAAACUCAAAAUUUACAAAGCAGCUGCCAAUUAGCCAGACCUUAAUUUUGCAAAUUUAUUUAGGAAAAGAAAUUUAACAUGAGCAAAUGAGAAUACUUCAGUGUUACAACAGAGUAUAUAAAUGUCUAGCAAUAGUCAAAUAAUUUGAUCUUUAAAUACAAAAUAACCACAUGAACACCUAAUAUACAGGUUUCAUCUGAAUACAUAUUUAUUAGAUAAAUAUUAGGUUGUCACAUCAUCUAACUACAUACAGUUUUGCAAGACUAAAAAUCACAAUUAUUUUUUCUGACCAGUUUAAAGUAUGAAAUGAUUGCAUUGUACUGUACAUACAAUGUACAAACAAAGACAAUGGCCAUUUUUGCAUGUUACCUCAGAUUGUACUUUUUUUUUUAAUUCUCCUCUGAUCGUGAUAUCAAAAAUUGUACAAAGUAUGAAUUUGGUUACAAUUUUUUUUUUCUUUUAAUCCCCGUGUUUUUCUUCAUUAUUUCUGUAGCACCCUAAAAAUACACAGGUGAUAGACUAGUACACGUAAGCUAAAUAUUACAUGUAGAUAAAACAAAACAAAACAAAGGAUCAGAGUAUAUUACAGAAGUGAAAGUGGAACAAAUGCUGAGACUCCACAAACGCUAACAAACAGGAUUCAUUUUCCACAUAAGAUGGAGCUUCAAGCUUUUUUUUUCCUGCGAAAUAAAAACAAUGCACAUUCCAAGGAAAAUGAAUGCAUUUCUGUUAACAUGUCUCUAUUUGUCAUUUACAUAUGUACAGCUGUCCCUUGAGUCUCCGCUGCAGACACUGGCGUGUACUGUCAGUCCUAUAAUCAUGUCUUG